GGGCGGUUAGCUCAGUUGGUAGAGCGUCUGGCUGGCAGCCAGAAGGUCAGGGGUUCGACCCCCCUACCGUCCACCA
rnacentral:tRNA from 1 species